UUCUUGGAUUUUUGUAGUACAUACUUUUGGAAGUGACCACUUUCACCCUUGCAAAGAUUAUUUUGAUUGUAUGGAAAUUCAAGUUGUAGAAAACAUCUGCCUAUUUCAGAAAACAAAACAUGAAAGGAGACACUUCAUGUUUGCAGAUUCUUAAAAGCCCUUCCUUAAAGUGUUCCGUAUGAUGCCAAACCCACAACAGUUUGUAAAACUGUGCCUGAAUUUGUCCGUGGAUUUCAUUUAGAUCAAAUUUUUAAAACCAUAGACAAAAAUAUUCUACUUUCUACUCUUAGAAAAAUACAAACUUCAGUCACAUUCAAAUCACGCUUUUUUUUUAACAUCUUCUUUCAAAUAUUUUUGUUUCCAUUCAGGCCUGCCAACAUUUCCAUGGAAACUCCCCAAAAUAAAGACUUUGCCAGCCUUGUGAGAACACACCUGCAAGAGCAAGAAUUGCCUGUCAAAAGUGACUCUCCCUCUUCACCGGUGUCACCUAAGGACAUUUUUGUGGUUGGCUUAUGUCGGUGUGAACUAGUGAUUUUCGUAUUAUGACUCUAGGACCCCUCUCCAUCUCCUUGAGUUUUGCCUCUAAAGUAGAACCAGGUUUGCUUCCACACCACAGGAGACAGGGCUCCACUGAACCUGUGGCUUCAUCGGUGGCUGUCUAACUGCUGAGGAGGCUGAGUCUCCCUCAAGAGGCUUAGAGGAGCUCAGUGCCUGUGAUUUUGGGAGCCCCUUUGGGACUACUCUGGAAUCUGCCUCUGAGCUGAAAAGGCAGAGCCCUCUGCAUACGGAGAGGUGAAGAUAUGUAACAGCCUAUGGGUAGACAAUAAAGCUUUCAUUCUGAUGAAGAAGAAAGGAUCACCGUAAGUAGAGUUGGCCCAAAUGCCCUUAACAGGAAUGAUUUUCCCUGGACAUUAGUGAUUCAUGCGAACUCCAGAUCACAUCAGUAAAAAGAAGUCUUACAAGGAAGGACACGCAAUAUCUCACAGAUCACAGCCUUAAGGAUCCAGGAGCAGUCAGCAGCUGCAUCUUCUGUAAGUGAAAUCAGUCAAACUUAUCAAAUCACUUCAUAGAGGAGCAAAUGUCCAACAAUAAUAUGAAAUGAAUACAACAACAAAACCAGGUAAAACUAUGCCUAAAGAAUACUCUGAGGAAAAUAUUUGAAAAAGUACUUUGACUUUUUUAAUCAUCUAUCUGAUAGGUUUACUAAGAGUCUGUUUUACUCAAGCUUCUGAGCACCACUCUACAUUUGCAAAGCGUAUUUAUCAUCCAGAGAAAGUUUUUUCCAAAGGAAAAGGAAUAAUACAGCAAAGUCUUCAAAGAUGUGAAUUAUUUCAUCCCUUUACAAACCCAGCAUGUGCUCUCUCUUCUGUAAUGACACAGUACAGAAAACAAGAUGUAAUUAAUGCAAUUCCUUUGCCAAAUGUGGGAACUUAUAAAGAAUUGGCACAUAAUUCCAAUUUGAGUUUUCUUGUCUUAAACAAAACCAAACGUAACACAGAACAUUAUAAUGUACUAACAAGGGCCUUCAACAGACUUUUUUUUUUCCCCCAAUACAAGCGACUGCAAAGUGCUGGGCCUGUAAUCAAAAGGAUACUCAGUGCCUAGAACAGCAAUAUUGAUGCAGCCUGGCAUUUCUGUAUACUACAGUACAAUGAUGUAGAGUGCACCAAACAUUUGGCCUUUUGUUAUCUCAUGUACCAAGACAGAGAAGCAUUCCUUUUCUACUCUUCUACCUCAAUGAACAGAUGUGGUUUUAAUCACAUACAAAACAAAAUGCUCCCCAGUUCCAGACUAUGACUUUGAAAUUUAGGAGUAAAAGUAUUUUUCAAAGAAAGUGAUUUCUCAUAAUCCUGAAACUGUCCAUAAAAGCAGAUGUGCAGGGAAUUGGAUAAAUACACCAGGGUUAUCCAGGAUUUUGUUUGUUUGUCCCCAGUUGAAGAGAAAAUGAAGGUAAUUUUGAUAAAGAAAAAAACUUGUGGCAAGACAAAUUUUAAAAGAAGCCUCAGGGUCCAAUUUAGAAAAGUUAUAGGAAAGUCAUCAAAAGAGAUUUUACAGAGCAGUGUAAAUCCAGAUGCUACUUCCCUGUUAUUGAACUUCAAAACUGCAGAUUAAUUGAAUACAUAAUGUUAGCAGAACAAAAUGGUUAAGAGACAGAAAAUGCCACACAAACCCCAAAUGCUACUCCACUAGGAAAUGGGCACCUAGAGCUGCUAUGAAUUUAAGCUCAACACUAACCUAUGUCUCAUAGUAUCCAGCUCGCCCACCACCCUCCCUAACUAAAAACCAUCUCAUAAAUACCUGAAGUCAUAUUACCCUUUCUUCUGAAUCUCAUUAGAGCCCUCUGAUGAACAGCGUGUGAGAGUUCCAAGGAACAUGGAUUACAGACAACUCUUCAAGACCUGUUUUGAAAGGAUGUAUGUGAUAUUGAGGUAGUUGGUACCUGCAUACAAAGAGAAUAGGUAUGUUCCUGAUGCAAUGUGGACCUCAAUUAGCAUGAACUGUCUUUAUCUGUAUGGCCUGUUGAGGAUAACAUGAACACAGUACAAAGGGAGCUCUGUGCCACAUCUGGGUGUUGCACCAGGAGCAGAGAGUGGAAGGAAGGAGGUGAAACCUGUGAUUCUGAUAUGAAGGUAAGAUGCACGAUGCUGGCAUCUGGCAACCAGAAGAGACAAAUGAGGUAGAGCUGGGCUUCUGGCUGCUUGUCAGCCAGGGCACAGGCAACGGUAACUAGAGCUUUUAACUCAUAUGGAAAGGUCAGGAUGGCAAGAACAGAAUUAUGGCUCAUGUUCAUAAUUCAGCUGUGAAUUUUCUAGCUCUACAGAGUUACAGUAAAACUCUGCCACAACACUCUGUAAUUAAUCCUAAACCCACAGGCAUUCAAAGUUCACCACAAAUGACCAGGUCCACAAAACAUCUAGACAUACAGCUCCCACUGAAAAUCAAUGGGAGUUAAGCCCCUAAAUACUCUUACAGUUCUGACCAAAUAAUUAUUCCCCCACCCCUUGAAAACCAUAAAUUGUGCCCACAUUGUGAAACAAACCUCCCCUGCUCAUAGCUUUUUCAGCCCUGUAUUUCACUGUAACUCCUCAGGACUAUUACAUCCUGCAGUGCCCCAGCCAGCAGCGCAUAGCUGUGAAGUUUCAAAGACAGCACUCAUGUCUCUGGAGCUUGUACCACUCACUUCAACAACUGCUCUUCAGCCUGUUUCGAUGCUACCAGCUCCAUUUACAGGCUGUUGGGACAAACUGCUCUAAUACGACAGUCACAAGAGUAGGCAAGAUUACAGACUCUGAAUGAGUUCAUGCCUAAAGUCAGUAUUAAGGAAAUUUCAUGCAGAUAGCUUUGCUUACAGAUUUCCUUGCAAUGCCUAGAACCAAUCCCAGUUUCUAAAAAGCAAGUUUUUAAUUAUGAGCAGAGAAACAAUGGCUCACUUCAGCAUCAAAAAGAAUACACCCAGUAUUUUUCCAUGCUCUGUAAUUUAAAAAUAGGCCGACCCAUUAGCUUUAAAGCUCUCAAAAAUAUUAAAACUGAAAUACAGGCCUUUCUUUUUUUUUAAGACAGACCCAGAGACUGAGACAUUUCAGGCUAAUGGCUACUUUAAGAUGAUAAAUGGGGAUAAAGUUUUUGAACUAUGAAUCUAACAUUGCCAGAACAGAUUGAUUCCAUAGCCAUUUUUUUAAUAGAAAGUAAAUUUUUAAACAUUGACUAAAUUUGAAGCAUUUAAAUAUGAACAGAGUUUUAACUGCAUGCCAAUUCAGAACUGCUACAGGGCCUGUAAUUUGUCACACCGCACAUACAGAUCUACCUGACUCUUCCCAUAUUUUUCCCCAUAGUGUGCAUGUUCAGAAAGCAAAUGGGCCAAAGUACACCUGAACAGCAUGCCUACCAAUUCAACACACCUCCUACAUUUAAUGUAAACCACACAGAAUAAAUAGAUAGUGAAAAAAAUGACAAGGAAUUGACAAUUUUUUUUCCUCUGUACUUAAAAACCAUAACCCUGGAGGCCAAAAUUACUGUCUUGACCAUUGGCUAUUGAUGACAAAAUAAUUAUGAUUAGUGGGACACUGACUCCCAGUGUUUCCAAGCACAUUUUGCGUGAGCUGGAGGAACACUUUGUAUACACUGAAUAUGGCACAGAAGGUCCCUCAGUUCAUCAGCACCACAGUGCCCAACAGGCUCUGCUCUUUUAAGAAGCAUUCCCAGACCUCAGCAAUUUACCUAAGUAUCAACCAAACAAAGCCUCACAAUUGCUAAAAUCCAGAUAAAGGCCAACCAGACCUGGCCCAGCUCUGCUGCUGAUGCUCCGCACACUAAUGCAGACCCUGUGAACUCAACCGACUGAAUGGGCUGAAGAGUGACACACCCCAAAGAUCAGGGGAAUAAAAGCAGUUUCAAACCAUCCCAUGGUGAGAUCACCCUGGUAUCUGUAUGGGCUCACAGUACCAAUCAUAUGAUUUGUAAACAGAGCAGCAUGCUGGUGAUGGAGAAGCUGAUGUCAAAUCUCUCCUCCUCACUGCUUCACCUAAAUGUUCAGACCAAGGAGGUGGGAGACACAGAAGCUACCGCAGAGACUCCCAGUCAUCCAAAGGCUGGUUAAACUAAUUCAGGGAUACAGCAGCUCGCAGCAUCCCAGCAUACCAAUGAACCACACCCUGUGAGUUAUUUCCAGCAAUACUAACAGCCACUGCAGUCUAAGACUGUCUUGGGGUUUCCAUCUGAAGUUCAGACCCUGCAAGAAACACUACUGCAAGAUUCGAGGCUGGGUUCUAUGCUUUCCAGGAUUCAGUCCUCAAACUGAAGUUCAAGUUCCUGCUGCCCAAACGAAGCUGGAGCAAAACCGUUGGAGUUUAAAAUCAUGGUAGAAUCAGAAAACACAUUGCUCUGAUCCUAAACUCAAGAGAUUCAACUGCUGUAUUAGAUCAACAAUGAACUUCACUACGAUGAAGCCGCAACCAAAGGGUAAUACCAAAUUCACAGACAAGACAAAAGUGACUUCUUCCCUGUUAAAAUAAUUCUUACAUUUAAAAAAAUAAGCUUAAUUCUCUUUUGGUGGGGAUUGUGUUAUUUUUGGCUACAAAUCUGCAUUGCAUAAUGUGUUUAGAAAUAGGUUAACCCCUUUAUUAAACACACUGUUAGAGUAGAUCUAUGACAUAUGUGAU